rnacentral:tRNA from 1 species
GGUUUCGUAGCUCAGUUGGUAGAGCGCUUGCCGCGUAGAGGCAUGGUGUUUCUGUCGCUGGUUCGAAUCCAGCCGAAGCCC